rnacentral:snRNA from 1 species
AAAAAUAUAGAAUGCUUCACGAAUUUGCAUGUCAUCCUUGCGCAAUGGCCAUGCUAAUCUUCUCUAUAUCGUUCCAAUUUUAGUAUAUGUGCUGCCAAAACGAGCAC